UAGAUGGUAAUCAAGGUUUGUUAAGAUGCUUUUCAAAAUAUGUUUUGGAUGAUUAUUUUAUCAGUAAGAUAAACGACUAAAAUGACAACCUUGAAGUGCUGUUAAAAAUAUGCUACCUUCCCAAGAUUAAACAUGAGCACUCAACUGAAUUCCUUCUUUCCGUUUUACCACUACCUGGGAAAUCCCAAAUAACACGGCCUAUGAUGCAAACACAAACACCUCUCUAAGGGAUGGAUGACCCAGAACAGAUCGUAUAAAUCACAAGGAAGUCUGUUUAUAAAGACUUGGACAUUUGAAGAGGAAAGAGAUGGAACACUCUUACUAAUCUUAUUUCUAGAAAUAGAAAUUUAGUCAGUAAAGAAGCUUUCUGAGGA